CGGAAUCGCUACGUCUCGCCGGA
rnacentral:siRNA from 1 species